rnacentral:rRNA from 1 species
CAUUGGUUCUAUUUUGAUGGUUUAAGGGCCGAUGUAAUGAUUAAUAGGGACGGUUGGGGACAUUUAUAUUCCAUGGCUAGAGGUGAAAUUCUUGGAUUCAUGGAAGAUAAACUGCUGCGAAAGCGCCUGUCAAAGACGUUUUCAUUGAUCAAGAACGAAAGUUAGGGGAGCAAAGAUGAUCAGAUACCGUCGUAGUCUUAACCAUAAACGAUGCCGACUAGGGAUCGGUGGGUGUUAGUUUGAUGACCCCAUCGGCACCUCGUGGGAAACCAAAGUCUUUGGGUUCCGGGGGGAGUAUGGUCGCAAGGCUGAAACUUAAAGGAAUUGACGGAAGGGCACCACCAGGAGUGGAGCCUGCGGCUUAAUUUGACUCAACACGGGAAACUCACC